rnacentral:sRNA from 1 species
ACCUUUUCUGAACAGUAUUUGUGUACCACCAUGAAACAGAUUUCAUGCUGAUGUGGAGUCUCCCACAGUUUUGAGUGAAAACCCAGAACCUGAUCUGGUUUGGAGUCAGAGACAGCAUCAUCUUCCUCCCUGAAGAAGGGCCAUCUUGGACUCCCCAUCAUCCUUGAAAUUCGCUAGCUUUGUCCAUUGUCUUGCUUGUUCACUAAGAGUGUAAUAAAUGCUUGAGGUUUGUGAUUGAUUUUUAGAAAGGAAGAAAACCGUUUCUUUUGGCAGCUGAGAGGGGCCAUGUUGAAAUGAUUGAAAAACUUACCUUCCUAAACCUGCAUACUUCAGAAAAGGACAAGGAGGGAAACACUGCCUUGCACCUCGCUGCGAAGCAUGGUCACAGUCCUGCAGUGCAGGUGCUGCUAACCCAGUGGCAAGACAUAAAUGAGAUGAAUGAGCUCAGUAUCAGUAGUUUGCAGAUAGCAACCAGGAACGGCCAUGCAUCCCUUGUCAACUUUCUUCUCAGUGAGAACGUUGAUCUGCACCAGAAAGUGGAACCUAAGGAGUCCCCUCUUCAUUUAGCUGUUAUCAACAACCACAUCACGGUUGUAAACAGUUUAUUAAGUGCACAGCAUGAUAUUGACAUCUUAAAUCAGAAGCAGCAAACCCCUCUGCAUGUAGCUGCUGAUUGUGGAAAUGUGGAACUGGUGGAAACCCUGCUGAAGGCAGGCUGUGACUUGAAGGCUGUUGACAAGCAAGGAAAGACUGCCCUG